UCCGAUCCUCAUGCCAAGUAGGAUAGGAGAGGUGGUACAAAUGCAUGUAGAUACCAAGAUUUGCAUGUCACUACUUAGUAUGUCAUAGUAAACUAAUUCAAGUCUGAAAGCUAUAUAGUAGAACCAAUUCAAAUCUGGAAGAUAUCUCGUGUUUCUUUGUCAAUCCUCAGGCCUGUUUGCAUGGAGAGGUGGCGAAUACCUUAAUUGGUCCGAUCCUCAUGCCAAGUAGGACAGGAGAGGUGGUACAAAUGCAUGUAGAUAACAAGAUUUGCAUGUCACUACUUAGUAUGUCAUAGUAAACUAAUUCAAGCCUGAAAGCUAUUACAUGUUUCUUUUGUCAAUCCUCGGGCCUGUUUACAUUGAGAGUUGGUGAAUACAAUGUACCUUAAAUGGUAUGAUCCUUGUGCAAAGUAGAACUAAGAAGAGGUGGUACAAAUGCAUGUAGAUACCAAGAUUUGCAUGAUGUAAAUACUCAAAGUACUUCAUACAAUAUAGUAAAACUAAUUAAUUUAGUUGGGUUUUACAGCACACCAACACAGUAUAGGUUAAAAAAACCAAUUCAAUUCAAAUCUGAAAGCUAUCUCAUGUUUUUUGUCAAUCCUCAGGCCUGUUUACAUGGAGAGGUGGCAAAUACCUUAAAUGGUUCGAUCCUCAUGCCAAGUAGGACAGGAGAGGUGGUACAAAUGCAUGUAGAUACCAAGACUUGCAUGAUGUAAAUACCUAAGUUUGUCAUACGUAGUAAAAACCAGUUCAAAUCUCGUGUUUCUUUGUCAAUCCUCAGGCCUGUUUACAUGGAGAGGUGGCGAAUACCUUAAAUGUUACGAUCCUCGUGCCAAGUGGGAUAGAUUAGGAGAGGUGGUACAAAUGCAUGUAGAUACCAAGACUUGCAUGAUGUAAAUAUUUAAUCCCAAUAUUAUUGCACAUUCGGUAGCAAAGAUGUUGAUACCACAUGUCGUCUGAUGAUGACUUUUACGGGAUGGAAUAAGGUUUGGUCAUUGUAUUCCCUGAAAGGAAUGAGAGGAGAAAAGAAACUGGAAGACCUGGCUAUCUGCAGGCCAAUGCUGGCUGCAGGUCAAUAUUGAAUGCUCUUAUGAAAACUCAUGACAAUAACAAAAAAAAGAAGCUGAGGAUGCUGUUUUUAAAACAUGCUCCAUUCAAAAAAGGUGGAUUGAAAUUUAAGAAAGGUGUGACGGGUGCGUCUGCUGCAGGCAGGGAGGAUUUGACGGUCAGCCAGAGGAUUUGGAGAUAUACUGUAAUGUCUUUAAUGUGGACUUGCGUGUGAUUUAAGUUUUCACAAGGGUUUUAGUGUGUGUGAAAGUAUGUCAGUUUUCAAAAUUGAGCUAUGUCAAUUUGCUCAAACUACAUAACUCAAAGAACUUUGAAGCAGUCUUGUUGACGUCAUGAGCUUUUGUUUAAUACCAGUAUUGGUGAUAUAGGCCCAUGAUUAUAUACUGUAGAAAGUGAACAAGUUCACUGCUCGAUACAGAUAGUCAUAUAGCCUGAUCUCUGAAUGAUAUUUAUGAACCAAAAGAAGGCAUAAAAUAAAAACAUACAGUAGUGAUUUGAAUUAUUGAUAUUGUUAAACUAGAUCUGGGCCAGUAUUCAUAAAGGAUCUUAGUAAAAAAAAUUAUCUAGAACUUAAUAUUCUUUGAACAGUCAAGUCAAAAACUUUUCACGCUCUUUAAAUAUUUUACAGCAUGACUCCAAACUUGUAUAUUAUACCAAAGAAAAAUAGAUUGGCAACUUGAAAGGCGUAUAGAGCAAAUCUCGCCAACAUCACAUGGCAACUGAAUGAGGUCUCCUUUUAGUAAGCAUAUUUGAUCACAAUUGAUCAAGUCAGCAAACGCUUUGAAAAAAGAAAACUUGAUCGUUUGUGUAUAAUGCUAAUGGUACCUUUUUAAUAAUGUUACUAGUAUUUACUACACAGGAAAGCAAUGAAUUUUUGAUUGGAAGUCUGAGAAAUUAACAGUUGUUGAAAAAUGGACUCGAUUCGGUUUAUUACGCGCCAGUGUAACAUUAAAUACUGACCACGUUGAAAAUUGGCCCCAUAGAUCCUUUUCAGUGUUGAGAAUUGACCCCGUCAACAUUUCAACAUCAAAUUUUGAUCAAAGGGUCCUUUUUCAACGUUGAGAAUUGACCCCGUCAACAUUUCAGCAUUAAAUUUUGAUCAAAAGAUUCUUUUUCAACAUUGAGAAAUGGCCCCACCAACAUUUCAACAUUAAAUUUUGAGCAAUGGGGUCAAUAUUUAAUGUCACACCGGCUGUACCGCCAGUUUAAUACUUCAGUAAGCAUCUGUUGAUUUGAUCACGACUGAUCAAAUCGGCAAACACUUUGAAAUAAUAUAACGCGCCAAGGUCAAUGUCACCAAGGUGUUAUAGUGACGUCUUUGGUUAUUUUUAAGGUUAAAGUUUUUCGGCAACCUUUGUUUUUCUGUCAUAGCUUUGUUAUUAUUGCUUAUAUCUUUCUGUAACUUUACAUAAACAUUGUCCAGCAUACAAACAAAGUAUGUACAGGGGGUCGGCCCAUUAUACCCAAGGUCAAGGUCACCAAGGUGUUAUACUUAGGUUAAGGUCACAAACUUGUUAUACUUGGAAUUAUUUUCAUGUUAAAUUUUUUGGAAAGCUUCGUUUAUAGACAUACCUUUGGUACUUUAAAAGAAAGUGACCACUUUAUCAUCAUCAUCUGCGUGUGUGGUAGCAAUCCCAAUAACUCUAAUAUGUGUUCUUGACAAAAUUAUGCCCCUUGAUGCAUCUUCCUUUUAAAGUAGAGGUCUCCUGUUGAGACAUAUAUUCAUUUUACUGUCAAAUCAUCGAAUAGUGGAGCGCGCUGUCUUACGGACAGCUCUUGUUGUUGAGACCCCUUAUAGAAUUUCAAAUUUGUUGUCGCAUAUCUUCACUCUGAUGUGUUGCACACAAGUCGCAUCCAUAUAACCAUGGUCAAGGUCACACUUUGGUCAAAGGUCAAAAGAGAGUUCAUUCUAACACAUUCUUUGUUUAUUCUUUUACUAUUUUUUAUCAGAAAAUCAAAUUAUUGAUCGUCUGCGUUACUUAAAUUUUGUUUUUCUCAAAAACUGUCAAAGGUAACCAUUUGAAACUUGAAAAACUUGUUCACUUUUACACAUUUUUAUACGCCCGAAGGGACGUAUUAUGUUAUGACGCCGGUGUCCGUUUGUUCGUCCGUUAGCAAUUUCGUGUCCGCUCUGUAACUCUUGAACCCCUUGAAGGAUUUCAAAGAAACUUGACACAAAUGUUCACCACAUGGAGACGACGUGCAGAGCGCUUGUUUUGGAUGACUAGGUUCAAGGUCAAGGUCACACUUAGGGGUUAAAGGUCAUAUAAGUGUGUUUCGUGUCCGCUCUGUAACUCUUGAACUGCUUGGAGGAUUCCAAAGAAACUUGGCACAAAUGUUCACCACACUGAGGCGACGUGCAGAGGGCAUGUUUUAGAUGACUCGCUUCAAGGUCAAGGCCACACUCGGGGGUCAGAUGUCAUAUAUGACUUUGCUUUGUGUAUAUUGCUCUGCAUUGCAGUGCUCUUGUUUUUAUUUGGCAGAUCCCUUUUUUGUUCUCUUACAAUAAUUUUUUUGUAUUACUUCCCUUUUUUGUUACUAUAAAUAGCUUAUUUUGAAACUUUUAUAUUAUUUGCCAUAGGGAAAAACCGAGACCACUUUUCUGUGGUACAACAUGGAUGGUACCUCCAAUUUUUAGGUGUAUUUUGAAUAACUUUACCUGGUAAGAAUUUUUUUUGUGGACUUGGAAUUUUUUUCUGGAUUUUCUUCUUUUUUUGUUCCUGUCCUUUGGGCUUCAACAGUCAAGUUCUUUAAAUUUUGCGCCCAUCCUCUGAUGUCACCCCCUCGGGCGUAUUUUGCCCCGCUUGGCGGCGCUCUUGAAUUCAUUGCAAUGCAGGUAACCCUGUGAUUUGUUUUUACAGAGUAAAUACCUCUUACUGUCCAUCAGUCUCCAAUUUCUCAAUACAGUGUAACAAGGUAUUUUUCUUCUUUACAGUGGUGACCUCAUUCUGUUGACUAGGUGACUUUUAAUGAUUUUUUUGUUGAGCUAUUGCCCUUUUUCGACCUUGAAUUUUCAGUUUUCAGUCCAAUUACCCAAUAUCUUAUCAUAGGUAUUGACAUGAUACUAGACAUAAUUUAUUGUGAUGACCCAAUUUGUUAGACAAGAGGAGGUAACUCUAUCAAGGAUCAUUUUCUAAGAAUUAUUGCCCUUUUUAUAUGCCCGUUUGAAAAAUUGGACGUAUUAUGGGAACGCCCCUGGCGGGCCGGCAGGUGACGUCCGGAGCAUAUCUUCUUCAUGCAUGGAGGGAUUUUGAUGAAACUUGGCACAGUUGCUCACCAUCAUGAGACGGAGUGUUAUGCGCAAGAACCAGGUCACUAGGUCUGUUCAAUGUAUGUGCAUCCGUGCGUGCUUGUGUCCGGAUUUGAUUACAUGUCCAGACUGCAACUUUGACAUGCAUGGAGUAAUCUCAUUUAUAUUUGGCAUGAAUGUUAACCUCAGUGAGACGGAGUGUCAUGUGCAAACCGCAGGUUCCUAUCUCAAAGGUCAAGGUCACAGAGGUCAAAGGUUAAAUUCAAUAAUGACUGUCCGGAGCAUUUCUUCUUCAUGCAUGGAUGAAUUUUGAUGAAACUUGGCACAAUUGCUCGCCAUCAUGAGAGGGAGUGUCAUGCGCAAGAACCAGGUCCCUAGGUCUAAGGUCAAGGUCACAAUUAGAGGUCAAAGGAUACAAGAAUGAAAACUGUUCGGAGCAUUUCUUCUUCAUGCAUGGAGGGAUUUUGAUAUUACUUGGCACAAAUGUUAACCACCACGAGACGGAGUGUCAUGCGCAAGAACCAGGUCCCUAGGUCUAAGGUCAAGGUCACACUUAGAGGCUAAAGUUCAGAUACAAGAAUAACUUUGUCCGAAGCAUUUCUUCUUCAUGCAUAGACGGAUUUUGAUGUAACUUGGCACAAUUGUACACUAUCAUGAGACGGAGUGUUAUGCGCAGGUCCCUUCUUUAGAAUUACUUCCCUUUGUUGUUACUAUAAAUAGCUUAUAUUGCAACUUUUUCAUUACUAGUCGUAGGGAAAAAUCGAGAUCACUUUUCUGUAAUGCAACAUGCAUGAUACAUCCAAUUCUGAGAUGUAUUUUGACCUGUCUCUACCUGGUAAGAUUUUUGUGUGGACUUGCAACUGUUUUUUUUUGGGGGGGGGGGGGGGGUUAAAGAUUAACUUCCCUUAGUUGUUACUAUAAAUAACUUACAUUGUAACUUUUUUAUAAUUGACCAUAAUUAUGGAAAAACCAAGACCACUUUUAUGUGGUAUACAACAUAGAUGUUUUUUUCAAUCAGUAUGUUAAAACUUAAUAGGAUGAUUGCACAUGCAGAGUUUAUGACCCCUAUUUAUUUUGGGGGUCACUGGACCUGAACAUGAGAAACAAUUUCCAUUUCAUAACUUUUAAAAGAAGCACUAGGCCCAGAAUUUUGAAACUUAGUCGGAUGAUUGGACAUGCCAAGUAGAUGAUCCCUUUUGCAGCCAACCAUCAUUGUCUCUUUGACUUUUGCU